UUUUUACUACAAACAAUUACAGGUUUAUAGGCGGUCACCUAACCUAGAGCUGCCUUCAAACCAAACACAGACUCAACCACCUGCUUCAACCACUUACACCAGUUACCUAGCAAGCAACCAUCAUCCCUGACCAAACAACACCACGCCAAUCUUAACCUCCACUUUUAUUUUAUUAUUUCGACAAUUUUUAUAUUAUACUUAUAUUUUAGAUUUUUUUU
rnacentral:lncRNA from 1 species